rnacentral:rRNA from 1 species
UACGUAGGGUGCAAGCGUUAUCCGGAAUUAUUGGGCGUAAAGAGCUCGUAGGCGGUUUGUCGCGUCUGCUGUGAAAACUGGAGGCUCAACCUCCAGCCUGCAGUGGGUACCGGCAAACUAGAGUGCGGUAGGGGAGAUUGGAAUUCCUGGUGUAGCGGUGGAAUGCGCAGAUAUCAGGAGGAACACCGAUGGCGAAGGCAGAUCUCUGGGCCGUAACUGACGCUGAGGAGCGAAAGCAUGGGGAGCGAACAGG